UAGCAUAUCAAUAAGCGGAGGAAAAGAAACUAACAAGGAUUCCCCUAGUAACUGCGAGUGAAGCGGGAAAAGCUCAAAUUUAAAAUCUGGUAGUCUUUGGCUGCCCGAGUUGUAGUCUAGAGAAGUGUUUUCCGCGCUGGACCGUGUACAAGUCUCUUGGAACAGAGCGUCAUAGAGGGUGAGAAUCCCGUCUUUGACACGGACUACCAGUGCUUUGUGAUGCGCUCUCAAAGAGUCGAGUUGUUUGGGAAUGCAGCUCAAAAUGGGUGGUAAAUUCCAUCUAAAGCUAAAUAUUGGCGAGAGACCGAUAGCGAACAAGUACCGUGAGGGAAAGAUGAAAAGCACUUUGGAAAGAGAGUUAAACAGUACGUGAAAUUGUUGAAAGGGAAACGCUUGAAGUCAGUCGCGUCGUCCAGAACUCAACCUGGCUUUUGCUUGGUGCACUUUCUGGUUGACGGGCCAACAUCAGUUUUGACUGUCGGAAAAAGUCCUUGGGAAUGUGGCACCUCCGGGUGUGUUAUAGCCUUUGGUCGUAUACGAUGGUUGGGACUGAGGACCGCAGCACGCCUUUUGGCCGGGGUUCGCCCACGUACGUGCUUAGGAUGUUGGCGUAAUGGCUUUAAGCGACCCGUCUUGAAACACGGACCAAGGAGUCUAACAUGCCUGCGAGUGUUUGGGUGGAAAACCCGAGCGCGCAAUGAAAGUGAAAGUUGGGAUCCCUGUCGUGGGGAGCACCGACGCCCAUACCAGACCUUCUGUGACGGAUAUGCGGUUGAGCAUGUAUGUUGGGACCCGAAAGAUGGUGAACUAUGCCUGAAUAGGGUGAAGCCAGAGGAAACUCUGGUGGAGGCUCGUAGCGAUUCUGACGUGCAAAUCGAUCGUCAAAUUUGGGUAUAGGGGCGAAAGACUAAUCGAACCAUCUAGUAGCUGGUUCCUGCGAU
rnacentral:rRNA from 1 species